rnacentral:rRNA from 1 species
GUCUUAGCUUGCUAAGGCCGAUGGCGACCGGCGCACGGGUGAGUAACACGUAUCCAACCUGCCGUCUACUCUUGGACAGCCUUCUGAAAGGAAGAUUAAUACAAGAUGGCAUCAUGAGUCCGCAUGUUCACAUGAUUAAAGGUAUUCCGGUAGACGAUGGGGAUGCGUUCCAUUAGAUAGUAGGCGGGGUAACGGCCCACCUAGUCUUCGAUGGAUAGGGGUUCUGAGAGGAAGGUCCCCCACAUUGGAACUGAGACACGGUCCAAACUCCUACGGGAGGCAGCAGUGAGGAAUAUUGGUCAAUGGGCGAGAGCCUGAACCAGCCAAGUAGCGUGAAGGAUGACUGCCCUAUGGGUUGUAAACUUCUUUUAUAAAGGAAUAAAGUCGGGUAUGCAUACCCGUUUGCAUGUACUUUAUGAAUAAGGAUCGGCUAACUCCGUGCCAGCAGCCGCGGUAAUACGGAGGAUUCGAGCGUUAUCCGGAUUUAUUGGGUUUAAAGGGAGCGUAGAUGGAUGUUUAAGUCAGUUGUGAAAGUUUGCGGCUCAACCGUAAAAUUGCAGUUGAUACUGGAUAUCUUGAGUGCAGUUGAGGCAGGCGGAAUUCGUGGUGUAGCGGU